rnacentral:snoRNA from 1 species
AUUGAUAAACUAUUAGCCAGACUCAUCAAGAAACAAAGAGAGUAACUGUGGUGAUAGAAAUGUAUUAGUCUCAGAAGCUACUGAGGUGGUUCAUUCUAUCCUAGUACAGUC